rnacentral:rRNA from 1 species
UACAGAGACUGCGAGCGUUAUUCGGAUUCACUGGGCGUAAAGGGUGCGCAGGCGGCCAAGUGUGUUAGGCGUGAAAGCCCGGGGCUUAACCCCGGAAUUGCACCUAAAACUACAUGGCUAGAGCAUUGGAGAGGGUAGCAGAAUUCACGGUGUAGCAGUGAAAUGCGUAGAUAUCGUGAGGAAUACCAGAGGCGAAGGCGGCUACCUGGACAAUUGCUGACGCUCAAGCACGAAAGCGUGGGGAGCAAAAGGG